GAUGAACGCUGGCGGCGUGCUUAACACAUGCAAGUCGAACGAUGAAGCCCAGCUUGCUGGGUGGAUUAGUGGCGAACGGGUGAGUAACACGUGAGUAACCUGCCCUUAACUCUGGGAUAAGCCUGGGAAACUGGGUCUAAUACCGGAUAGGAGCGUCCACCGCAUGGUGGGUGUUGGAAAGAUUUAUCGGUUUUGGAUGGACUCGCGGCCUAUCCGCUUGUUGGUGAGGUAAUGGCUCACCAAGGCGACGACGGGUAGCCGGCCGGAGAGGGGGACCGGCCACACUGGGACUGAGACACGGCCCAGACUCCUACGGGAGGCAGCAGUGGGGAAUAUUGCACAAUGGGCGCAAGCCUGAUGCAGCGACGCCGCGUGAGGGAUGACGGCCUUCGGGUUGUAAACCUCUUUCAGUAGGGAAGAAGCGAAAGUGACGGUACCUGCAGAAGAAGCACCGGCUAACUACGUG
rnacentral:rRNA from 1 species